UGGUGGAAAAUAAACUUCCACUGUAAAUGCUUUUCCAAAACACGGGAAAUUCACGUCUUUUUUUAAGAAAAUGUCUUACAAUUUUUUUUUCAGUAGGAAAACGCCUUCUCCCAUUCCCCUUCUCCUUCCCCUUCCCCUUCCCCUUCCCCUUGCAAAUCAGUGCCAUUGCCAGCAAAUUUGCCAGGUACCCUACAUAAUUUCCUCAAGAGCUGUGCGAUUUCGAAGAACAAUGAUGAGAAAUUUUGGUCAAGGACCAAUGCUAGGGUCGGUGUUAAAAUGCUGGCAAUAUGGUUUCGGGUUUGAGCCAAAACUUGAGUUUGUACGUGCAGUUUUCGGACCUUGAGAGAGAAGUUCUCGGACAUCUUCUACAGAGAACUCAUUUUUUAUAUUUACAGGUUGGGAUUCGAUUUUCCCGCAUUUGAUUUCUUUGAAAUGGAGUAAAUAAUUGAGAAUUACUGGAACGCAUUUGAUUUUUGUGGUGGUAACUGAUCUUGGAGAAGAAGCAAUUGUGUACAUUAAUGGCACACCAUUUGUACUGAAGGAGUUAAAUAAGCCUGUUGAUACCCUAAAGCAUGUCGGAAUUACUGGACCUGUGGUGGAACACAUGGAGGCACGACUAAAGGAAGAUAUAUUGUCAGAGGUUAGAGAGUCCGGUGGUCGAAUGCUUGUACAUCGUGAAGAAUUCAGUCCAUCAUCAAAUCAGUCCAGUGUUGUGGGAUACUGGGAAAACAUUUUUACUGAUGAUGUGAAGAUAGCUGUUGAACUAUAUGCUGCUCUAAAAGAUGAGGGGUAUAAUAUAGAAUAUAGGAUGAUUCUAUUAACUAGAGAGAGGGAGGCUUUAGCUUCUGAUGUGGAUGAAAUCCAGAACUGUCAAGAUGACUCCUCAGGGUGUUACCUUUAUGUAUCACACAUUGGAUUUGGAGGAGUUGCAUACGCAAUGGCAAUCAUUUGCUGCAGACUUGAUGCAAAGGUGAACUUUGGAACAUCCAAUGCAUAAUCAUUGGGUGAUGCACAUCUACAUUCUACACCUAAAGAAAACUUGCCAUCCUAGACUUCUGAAGAAGAAGCACGAAGGAUGGGUGAUUACCGUGACAUUCUAAGCCUUACAAGAGUUCUCAUACAUAGUCCCAAAAGCAAAGAAAAUGUUGAUACUAUUAUUGAAAGGUGUGCUGGUACAAGGCAUUUACGAGAUGAUAUCCUCCAUUAUAGUAAGGAACUGGAGAAGGUCCCAAGCGACGAUGAUGAGAACCGAGCAUACAUCAUGGAUAUGGGCGUUAAGGGUAUGAGGUUAGUUGUUACAUAGUUGCAUCUAAAGCAAACUACAAUUUUACUGCCUCAAUCAAGUAGCAUGUCAAUUAGUGUUUGUGUAUUGAUUGAUGGGUUCAACUUGAACUUCAAAGCCAUGCUCCUGCAUUUAGUCGGUUUUCAUUGCUAAUGAAACUCAAUUUUCUCUCUUUUUUUCCUCCUUUCAUGGUUUGAUAAUCUAGAGUGCCUGAUCGGGGUUAGGUUGUUGCUACUAUGGAUUGAAACAUACCAGGGUUUGUAUUUCAUGACCCUUGAACUUUUGUAUUUGUUUAUUUUGCAAGCGUUAUUUCUUUCUCAUCA